CCAAUAGCGUAUAUUAAAGUUGUUGCAGUUAAAAAGCUCGUAGUUGAAUUUCGGGGUCAGUAGAUUGGUCGUGCCACUGGUAUGUACUGGUCUUACUGGCUCCUCCUUCCUGAUGAACCGUAAUGCCAUUAAUUUGGUGUUGCGGGGAGACUGGACUGUUACUUUGAAAAAAUUAGAGUGUUUAAAGCAGGCUAACGCUUGAAUACAUUAGCAUGGAAUAGUGAAAUAGGACGUUCGAUCUUAUUUUGUUGGUUUCUAGGAUUGACGUAAUGAUUAAUAGGGAUAGUUGGGGGCAUUAGUAUUCAAUUGUCAGAGGUGAAAUUCUUGGAUUUAUUGAAGACUAACUACUGCGAAAGCAUUUGCCAAGGAUGUUUUCAUUAAUCAAGAACGAAAGUUAGGGGAUCGAAGACGAUCAGAUACCGUCGUAGUCUUAACCAUAAACUAUGCCGACUAGGGAUCGGAUGAUGUUAAUUUUUUAAUGACUCAUUCGGCGCCUUACG
rnacentral:rRNA from 1 species